rnacentral:rRNA from 1 species
AGGGUUCGAUUCUGGCUCAGGAUGAACGCUAGCUACAGGCUUAACACAUGCAAGUCGAGGGGCAGCAUAUCGAAAGCUUGCUUUGAUGAUGGCGACCGGCGCACGGGUGAGUAACGCGUAUCCAACCUUCCCUAUACUAGAGGAUAGCCCGGCGAAAGUCGGAUUAAUACUCUAUGUUCUUCGUAGAAGACAUCUGAAAUGAAGCAAAGGUUUACCGGUAUAGGAUGGGGAUGCGUCUGAUUAGGUUGUUGGCGGGGUAACGGCCCACCAAGCCCACGAUCAGUAGGGUUCUGAGAGGAAGGUCCCCCACAUUGGAACUGAGACACGGUCCAAACUCCUACGGGAGGCAGCAGUGAGGAAUAUUGGUCAAUGGACGAGAGUCUGAACCAGCCAAGUAGCGUGCAGGAUGACGGCCCUAUGGGUUGUAAACUGCUUUUAUACAGGGAUAAAGUGCACUACGUGUAGUGUUUUGUAGGUACUGUAUGAAUAAGGACCGGCUAAUUCCGUGCCAGCCGCGGC